rnacentral:rRNA from 1 species
UCGAUUAGCAUGCGAGUCGAGAGGUGCAGACCUCGGCGCACUGCUCAGUAACACGUGGACAACCUACCCUGUGGAGGGGGAUAACCCCGGAAAACUGGGGAUAAUACCCCAUAGGUUAGGGAGGCUGGAAUGCCCCCUAGCUCAAAGGUCCGCCGCCACAGGAUGGGUCUGCGGCCGAUUAGGUUGUUGUUGGGGUAACGGCCCAACAAGCCUUUGAUCGGUACGGGUUGUGGGAGCAAGAGCCCGGAGAUGGAUUCUGAGACACGAAUCCAGGCCCUACGGGGCGCAGCGGGCGCGAAAACUUUACAAUGCGAGAAAUCGUGAUAAGGGAACCCCGAGUGCCCGUAAAUUCGGGCUGUCCGCCAGUGCAAAAAACUGGGGAAGA